ACGUAGGGGGCGAGCGUUGUCCGGAAUCACUGGGCGUAAAGCGCACGUAGGCGGGCUGUCAAGUCGGCCGUGAAAGGCACGGGCUCAACCGGAGCAUGUCGAGGGAUACUGGCGGGCUGGAGGGCGGGAGAGGGGAAAGGAACUCCAGGGGUAGGGGUGAAAUGCGGUGAUCCUUGGAGGACCACCUGUGGCGAAGGCGGCUCACUGGGACGGCACUGACGGUGAGGAGCGAAAGCCGGGGGAGCAAACGG
rnacentral:rRNA from 1 species